ensembl:lncRNA
AGUUCACAAGGUGGCGAUGUUAUAUGAAUUCAUACAAUGUGAUUUGUAAGGAAACGUGUGACUUUUGAAAAUCAUUGCCAAACCAAGCAAGUUUUUGAUUCAGUUUUUUCAUACAAAUCAGUUAAGUGAAUAAUUGACAUUCAUAAAGACAAUCCCUUGUUUCAUAAUAAGUCAGCAUUUUUAAACAAAUCAACUGAGUGAACAAUUCAGUGACCCAUUAAUAAAGAUAUUCACUUGUUCUGUUGCUGAUUGAAUUGUUGCUUUUGAAUGAAUCAGUUAAACGAAAGAUUCAAUAAACAUAUAUGUAACAAUAAACAACUCACGGGAAGAAGGAGGCGGGAACCGGCGAACUUUCAAAUAAAACUUUAAUAACCAAAUAAACAUAAAACAGCGCGACAGCCCCUCACGGUCGACUGCUGCGCACAAACAAAAACCAAACCACAAAAUAAAGCCCAGGCCUGGUCCUCUCUCAUCCUUCACUGUCGUCGCUCCUCUUUUGUAUCCUCCCAAUCUCCUCCGUGGGACUCGAGACCGGUGAGUGGAGCAGGUGUCGCUCAUUUCCCAAUCACUCCACCGGCCUCGCUCCGUUCCCACGGCUCUCGGCCCCGCCCCACUCGUCACAAUAUACUAGAAGGUCCAUCUCUAAACCUAACAGAAAGUGGGGACUAAGCAGAUCAUACGAAACCAUACAAAUGAGAUUGUAUCGAAUUAGCGGCCAGUUUACCAAAUGUAAAAUAAUCACAAAUUUUAGUGACAUAAUUGCUAGAAAGUGUGCUAAGUUUAGCAUAUACUUGUUGAUUUAUCGAAAGACAGUUGGUGAAGCCAACUAUUUUGAACAAAGUUGUGUGAAAAACUCCCAUAGUGCCUGGCUCUCAGCCAGCAUGGAACUUCACAUGCUUACAGGAAAAGAUCACAGCCAGGAACAGAUUAGCCGGUGGUGAGGUAUCGGAGUGUUUCUCAGGUGACACACAGACGUCUCAUCGACAUCUGCCACGACAUGUUCCUGCACCCGCACCCAAACUCUGCUGUCUUCAAAUCAUCACGGGGUGUGUGUGAUUGAUGCUGGACACGGUAAUUCAUGCAUGUCUCACUGUACAGGAGACAGACAUCACCCCUUUAGACUCUCUCGCUUGUCUUUUGCACUGUCACAUUCAUUCACACUCUGAACAAAAAUGUGAGUGGAGUAAAAAAAUAAAUGAAAUUGUUUAUUCAUUGUUUGCUGAGCAAGUCUAAAGCCUCACUUAUUUAUUUUACCUUUUAUUUUAUAUUUCACAUAAAUAUUUUAAAAGGAUUUCUAUAUAUUUUCAUUUAAUUCUAUUCUAAAUUUUCUAAUUUUUUCUAUUUUAUCUGUUAUUUAUAUUUUUGUAUUUUUAAUUGUAUAAAUAGUUUAACAUGAUUUUUCUAUGUUGAACACACACACACACACACACACACACACACACAUAUAUAUAUAAACGAUAUAAAUCAUUUUAUUAAUUGCUGAGCAAGGUCUACAAGUCUAAAGCUUCACUUAUUUUUUACAUUUUAUUAUUAUUUUUUAUUUCAUAUAAAUAUAU